UACGUAGGGGGCGAGCGUUAUCCGGAAUUACUGGGCGUAAAGCGCACGCAGGCGGUUCGCCAAGUUUGGAGUGACAGUUGUCGGCUCAACCGACAAAGGACUUCAAAAACUGGUGAACUUGAGGACGAGAGAGGAGCAUGGAACUCCAGGUGUAGUAGUGAAAUGCGUAGGUAUCUGGAAGAACACCAAUGGCGAAGGCAAUGUUCUGGCUCGUUUCUGACGCUCAGGUGCGAAAGCCAGGGGAGCGAACGGG
rnacentral:rRNA from 1 species